CCCUAGGCUUUGAGCUGGCGGAAGGGAGC
rnacentral:piRNA from 1 species